UUCUUAUCUAGAGAGGUAGAGGGACCUGGCCCUAUGACACCUCAGCAACAGGCUGAUUGCACUGUGCUAAUUCCAGCAAGCGCUUAGAAGCUUGAACGAUAAGAA
rnacentral:ncRNA from 2 species